ACAUGUUCUCCUCCUCUAACUUGUUCAAUACUCGUAAUACAGAUUAAAUACGUGUGGGACAGAUGAUGUAAACUAUGGAUCUGAUCCAAUGUUAUUUGGGAACAAAGAUCAAGCCGAAUUUUCUCAACAUAAAUGUUGUGUGUAGUUUGUUUUCAGACUGUCUAGACGUACAUCACACAUCUGAUGAACGAGAUUUCCUCUCCCGUGCUGUAAUGAUGGCUGGACACUAGGACUUAAUGGCAUAUACUGUAGAAAGGUCAUAUAGAACAUAGAGAAAUCUCAUUGGGAAUUAAGUCACCUUUCACGUUGCCUUUUAUUAUGAUCACAACCAGACAGUUAUAUUCAUAAAAAAGUCUAAACAUUAAUCUUAUUAUUAAACUCAGAAACAAUAUAACUGUCUGGUUGUGAUCAUAAUAAAAGGC
ensembl:lncRNA